GUUCUUUACAAGCUCCUAUUUUCCCUCCAGGCCUUCCCUGGGUGUGGAACACCUUUCCAGUCCUGCCUUUCCUUUAUUCUAGGAGACUCAGGAAGGUGAGCUGGUUCCUUAAGCCAUGGCCACCCCUUGUAUGGUGAUCCUAACGUGCUUGGUGGCCUGUGGUCCCAGCAGCCUUACGAUGGGGUUGGUGGGGAACAAUAGAAUUCUCUCGUCUCAUCUCUCCAGAGGGGACAUGGAACCCUGGAGCUGAUGAGGGAGAUGCUAAAAGCCAAGAAGGGACCAGGCUUAGCGGGGGUGGGAUCCAAGCCUGUGGGGUCCCCAGCCCAGAGGUCCUUCCAGCAGGGCAGCAGCUCUGCCUGGCAGGGCUCUGUGUGCAGGGCCUGAUCUCCCCAGACGGCCCCUCAGUUCUGAGUGUGGUGCCCAAAGUUCCACUACUGGAGAUCAUUUCCUGUGGAGGGCAAAGGGCGGUGAAGGCUUUCUGGUCUUCAGGGAGCCCCAGCUAAUGCUUAACCCGCUGUGAUGAGUCCUCCGAUAAGCACAAGUCGGUGGCUCCCAGGAGGAUGAGCUGCUGACAGGCCACCAAGGGUGAGAGGCCGUGGGAAGGCGAUCCUGACUGAGGCCUGGAGGAAUGUGGGAAGCACCAAGCAGGCAGGAAAGUGGGGGUGUCAGGGCAGAAAGGGACGGCAGUGGGAAAGCCUUGGGCUGGGCAGUCGGAGAACUUGCCGACAACACCGACUUGUUGGGAGAGUCUAAGAAUGUGGCGGUCAUUCCAGCCAUGAGGGAAAUGCCUGGAGAAUUCUGGAGAUGCAGACCCAAUGUCCUGAUAUGGGAGGGAUGAUGAAUCAACCCUAAAUUGCCUACCUCUAGACAUCUUGUUAAAGAAUGUUCUUAUAAGGAUUCCUAUCAUGCGAAGCUGCAGGCAGCUUCACUGCAAUUAUGUGAAAAUGCAUCCAUCAUCAUCCAGAGAGGGGGCAGGUCUUGAAGAGGAUUGGACUUGGAGCAGCCACACUCACUCUGGACUGGCCUGGAAGCCUGGAAGAGCUAGAGCACAGGGCACCCUUCACUGCCCUGCUGGGAUGACGGCGGUGCUAACCACCCCAGAACUGAAGCUCCUGAAGCUGCACUGCUGCGGGAGGGUGAGAAGUCCGAUGCAAGUCCUACAUCUGCGAGCAGGGAGGAGGGUUUCCUCUCAGCAGGUAGAGAUUGUGCAGUGGAGGUUUGGAGAAGCUGGUGCACCUGGAGAAAAGCACGGGCUAGAGGAAGGAAGGCAAGAUCAGACUCUAGGGACAGUGUCCAGCACUCUGACAUCGUACUGCGGGGAGACCCUUCAAUUUAGGGCCUUCUCUAUCUAUUCAUUAGAACAAGAUGGGGGCAAGGGCAAGGAUGAGGGUCCAGCCACCGCCUAUUCUUUAUCCCAUUAUGGCAGGCAGAAAAACAGCUCCCUUAGAAGCUCAUAUCCUAGUCUCCGGACAGUCUUCAUAUGUUAUGGAACCUGUAUGUUACGUUACAUGGCAAAGGGGGGUUAAAUUGCAGAUGGAAGGAAAGUUGCUAAUCAGCUGACUCUGAGGGAAGAAGAUGAUUCUGAGUUGUCUGGUAGGCUAACGUAGUCACAGGGUGGAAGAGAGAGGCAGAAGUGGAGAACCUGAGAGAUGGCUGUCAGGAUAGACUAGGCCCAUUGCUACUCACUUUGCAGAUGAAGGGAGGAGGCUCAAGUCAAGGACAGCAGCUGACACCUGGAAACUGGAAAAUCCAGGGAGACAGAUUCUCUCCUGGAGCCUUUGGAAGGGAAUGCAGACCUGCUGGCACCCUGAAGUUAGCUAAGGAGGCCCUGGACUGCCAUCCUAGAGAAUCAUAAAAUAACACAUUUGUGUUUUUCAAGCUACGAAGGUUUUGGUAAUUUCUUAUAGCAGCAAGGGGAAGAAAUACUCUAGACCAUGUGGAGGGUCCAUAUAUAGAUGAGAUCCAGCUUACUGCCUGUGUCUACCUCCCGACAGGUGAGGGUACCUCCAGGUGACUGCAGUCCCUGCUACCCAGUCACCUCAGUCUGAGAUUCCUAGCUGAGACCUCAGACAAGUUGGACUCACUUUUGUUUUUUGCCCAAUUUCUUGACUCAUGUAAAUCUAUAAAAAAAAUGAUUGUUUUAUGCCACUGAGUGUUGAGGUUGUUUGUUACACAGUAUAGUAACCAGAACAGUGAUCUAUCUGACAUAUAAUCUCCUCUAUUUUUUUGUUGUAGUUUUUUUUCUCAGAUAGCUUUUCUUCCUGGUGCAGCCAUGUUAGAUCAUCAGGGUUAAUCAUUAGGUUAAUCCUGAUUAACCUAAGCCAAUGACUGGCUUGAAGGUGGUCAUGUGAUCCAGUUCUGACCAAUGAGAAAACAAGUGAAGAUUGAUGGAGGACGAGAAUCUUUGGUGAUGAAAGGGAGAGGGUCAGGAAGAAGUAGCCUUCUUGCUUCUACCAGACCUUGUCAUGUCUGCCUUUGAUGCCUGGGACUGGAGUGGCCAUGUUUGGACCCUAAGGGUAGUUAGCCCAGGGCAAACUGAAAUUCACAAGAUGACAGAGUGGAUAGAUGAAGAGGGAAACUUACACGUGUGCUCAAAGAGGCAUGUAUAAUGUUCACAUCAGCACUAUUUGUAAUAGCAAAAAAAUCUAACAGGAAAAAAGAUAAACACAUCUUCUAUGUUUACACAAUGGAAUACUAUACAGUGAUAAAAAAUAAAAAUGGAUACAAAAGCAAUGAAAAUGAGUCUCAUAAUGUUGACUAUGAAAAAUAAGGUUGCAAUGUUGUCCUUCAGAGAGUACAUACAUAGGAAAAAGAAUAAAGAAAUGCAUGGAAAUGCAGGAAUAGGUAUAAUUUAUGGAAUACAUGUUGUGUUGAAAGCACCAUGCUAGUAAACAACAAUUUGAUUGAAUUCUCACACUAAUAUGUAUAGAGUAGGGUUAUUAAUAUCCCCACUUUCCAGUUGAGAAAGUUGAGGCCUAAAAAAGUGUACUAUUUAGGUGGCAUAUUCUUAAAUAUUACAGUGCAUUCCUAAAAAUGUACCCAGUGCCCAGAUAUACACAGGACAUUCCCAAACAUUCAAAGACAUUUAAUCCUAUGGGAUAGGAAUUAUCACCUCUAAUUUCAAGGUGAGGAAAGGAAGCUGAAUGAUGUCCCAGGUCUCACAGAGACCAAAUGCCUGAGACGGGAUUGAACGUGGGUUUUUUUCUAGUUUCAAAGCCCAUGCUUUUCCACCAACAUUUUGUCAUAUUCAUGAAGCAUGUGAGCGUAAACACAUCCACACCCACACCCCACACCCCCUACACACACCCACACACACCCACACACACCCACA
ensembl:lincRNA